AUAAGAGAUGGGGAUUGAGCAACACAAAUAAUGGACAAGCUCUGCGCGGACUCAGGUUUUAAACUUGGGUUUGCGGAAUAUACAUCAGAAGCAAUAGUGAUCUCCAAGGAAGCAUUGGUACUUGGAUUUCGAAUCUCCAAUAAGAUCAGACCCCAACAAGAAUGCUUAUGAAGAUCCAUUUGUCUUCACUGGAACUGCAAAUGAAGCUCCUCAAUUUCGGCAACUGUUGGAGAUGAUGAGUAUUGGGAUGGAGAUAUUCAGGUAAUAAUGCUGGUUUCUAACACUUGUUUAGUGGCUUUUCUUGUAAGAUUUACAUUGGUCAGAACUCAAGAUUUUAAUCCUUUUUGUGUAAUUGGAACCCAAUGAAUCAAUGAAUGUUAAACUGAAUAAUGUUUUGUGUGCACGCUUAAUUUGAUUUGACAUUUGAGUUUCACCUGA